rnacentral:rRNA from 1 species
GACGAACGCUAGCGGCAGGCCUAAUACAUGCAAGUCGAACGGGAUUGCGGUGUAGCUUGCUACACUGCAUGAGAGUGGCGCACGGGUGCGUAACGCGUGAGCAACCUACCCAUAUCAGGGGGAUAGCCCGGAGAAAUCCGGAUUAACACCGCAUGGACAGUAUUACCGCAUGGUAUAGCUGUUAAAUAUUUAUAGGAUAUGGAUGGGCUCGGGUGACAUUAGCUAGUUGGUGGGGUAACGGCCCACCAAGGCGACGAUGGCUAGGGGCUCUGAGAGGAGAAUCCCCCACACUGGUACUGAGACACGGACCAGACUCCUACGGGAGGCAGCAGUAAGGAAUAUUGGUCAAUGGGCGGAAGCCUGAACCAGCCAUGCCGCGUGCAGGACGACUGCCCUAUGGGUUGUAAACUGCUUUUGUACGGGAAUAACCCUCUCUACGAGUAGAGAGCUGAACGUACCGUAAGAAUAAGGAUCAGCUAACUCCGUGCCAGCAGCCGCCGUAA